rnacentral:rRNA from 1 species
UACGUAGGGUGCGAGCGUUGUCCGGAUUUAUUGGGCGUAAAGAGCUCGUAGGCGGCUUGUCGCGUCGUCCGUGAAAACCUGCAGCUUAACUGUGGGCGUGCGGUCGAUACGGGCAUCACUGGAGUUCGGCAGGGGAGACUGGAAUUCCUGGUGUAGCGGUGAAAUGCGCAGAUAUCAGGAGGAACACCGGUGGCGAAGGCGGGUCUCUGGGCCGAUACUGACGCUGAGGAGCGAAAGCGUGGGGAGCGAACAGG